AUUGAACGUUGGCGGCAGGCCUAACCCAUGCAAGUCGAGCGAGCGGCGGACGGUUGAGUAAUGAUUGGGAAACUGCCUGAUGGGGGGGGAUAAUAACUGGAAAGGGUAGUUAAAACCGCUUACCACCGGUUGAGCCCAGUUGGGAUUAGCUAGUAGGGGGGGUAAUGGCUCACCUAGGCGAGGAUCCCUAGCUGGUCUGAGAGGAGGACCAGCCACACGGGGACUGAGACACGGCCCAGACUCCUACGGGAGGCAGCAGUGGGGAAUAUUGCACAAUGGGCGCAAGCCUGAUGCAGCCAUGCCGCGUGUAUGAAGAAGGCCUUCGGGUUGUAAAGUACUUUCAGCGGGGAGGCGUUACCCGCAGAAGAAGCACCGGCUAACUCCGUGCCAGCAGCCGCGGUAAUUC
rnacentral:rRNA from 1 species